UCAAACAGGAGAAGAAGAGAAAAUAUCAGUAGAAAGCUAGGAAUAUAUUGAGAUGGCAAUUUGCAAGAGGAGUACAAGCGUUGUGUGCAUGGUAGCUUUCAUUGUGGUGAUGGCCAUGGUGAUGCUAUCUUGUGAUGCAGCAGACGAGCCAGAACGGUGCUUUAGCCUUGAAGAUGGAUGCGAUAGUGAAGACAAGUGCAGGGAUUAUUGUGUGGCAUCAGGUUACACCAAGGGAUCUCAUUGCACGAAGGAGCACCAGGAGUGCUGUUGCUUUGUGUCCGGCCCCAAGCCCAAGCUGCACGCCGUCAGUCCUCAAGAUUGAGACAUUGCUUUUCUUGAUUAUAUAGUACUAUAUAUUAUCAGAGCUAUUCUGCAACCGAUUAAAUAAUAUUUCACAGUUUAGGAGUAACUUUAAAAUAUUGAAAUAUGGAUCAACCAAAAAGCAAUGGACAGUAUUUUGAUA